UCCUGGUUUGCCUGGGACUGAGGGAUUUCCUGGGGUGCAGGACUGUCCGUGCUGAAAGCAGGCCAGUC
rnacentral:miRNA from 1 species